GAUGAACGCUGGCGGCGUGCCUAAUACAUGCAAGUCGAGCGAACGGACGAGAAGCUUGCUUCUCUGGUGUUAGCAGCGGACGGGUGAGUAACACGUGGAUAACCUACCUAUAAGACUGGGAUAACUUCGGGAAACCGGAGCUAAUACCGGAUAAUAUUUUGAACCGCAUGGUUCAAAAGUGAAAGACGGUCUUGCUGUCACUUAUAGAUGGAUCCGCGCUGCAUUAGCUAGUUGGUAAGGUAACGGCUUACCAAGGCAACGAUGCAUAGCCGACCUGAGAGGGUGAUCGGCCACACUGGAACUGAGACACGGUCCAGACUCCUACGGGAGGCAGCAGUAGGGAAUCUUCCGCAAUGGGCGAAAGCCUGACGGAGCAACGCCGCGUGAGUGAUGAAGGUCUUCGGAUCGUAAAACUCUGUUAUUAGGGAAGAACAUAUGUGUAAGUAACUGUGCACAUCUUGAAGGUACCUAAUCAGAAAGCCACGGCUAACUACGUG
rnacentral:rRNA from 1 species